rnacentral:rRNA from 1 species
ACGGAAGGCAGCAGUGGGGAAUAUUGCACAAUGGGGGGAAACCCUGAUGCAGCGACGCCGCGUGAGUGAAGAGGUUAUUCGUAAUGUAAAGCUCUAUCAGCAGGGAAGAAAAUGACGGUACCUGACUAAGAAGCCCCGGCUAACUACGUGCCAGCAGCCGCGGUAAUACGUAGGGGGCAAGCGUUAUCCGGAUUUACUGGGUGUAAAGGGAGCGCAGGCGGUUUUUUAAGUCUGAUGUGAAAGCCCGCGGCUCAACUGCGGGACUGCAUUGGAAACUGGAGAACUAGAGUGUCGGAGGGGCAAGUGGAAUUCCUAGUGUAGCGGUGAAAUGCGUAGAUAUUAGGAGGAACACCAGUGGCGAAGGCGGCUUGCUGGACGAUAACUGACGCUGAGGCUCGAAAGUGUGGGGAGCAAACAGGAUUAGAUACCCUGGUA